rnacentral:snRNA from 1 species
AGCUUUGUGCAGUGGCAGGAUCGUAGCCAAUGAGGGUUAUCCGAAGCACAAUUAUUGCUAAUUGAAAGAUCGUUUAGUCCAAUCCCUUCACUUACCAUACAGAAAAAGAGGCACAGAGACUCAGUGACUUAUCUGAGGUUGCAAAUGUUCAGCUGCAGGUUUCUUGACUGUUACUCCAUUACUUAUUUUAUCAUUCUCCAUUUUUUAUCUAAUUUUAAAGUAUGUGAAAUAUAUGUAUAUGUAUAUAAAUA